rnacentral:snRNA from 1 species
GUGCUUGCUUCGGCAGCACAUAUACUAAAAUUGGAACGAUACAGAGAAGAUUACCAAGGCCCCUGCACAAGGAUGACACGCAAAUUCGUGAAGCAUUCCAUAUUUUU